rfam:Ornithorhynchus anatinus chromosome X5, whole genome shotgun sequence.
AGCAGCGUGGCUCAGUGGAAAGAGCACGGGCUUGAGAGCCAGAGUUCAUGGGUUCGAAUCCUGGCUCUGCCA